rnacentral:lncRNA from 1 species
AUAAAAUUAUAAAAUUUUAAGUUUACUUUCAUUAAAAAAUAAAGCGUGCUUAUUGCGUAUUUUUUCGAGUGUCAUGCUUUGACUCAUCUCUAAUCGUGUCAUACUUUUAAGGCCCACGUGCCUAAAAUUCUAAGCUCGGCCCAGCCCACGUGCGUGUCAUGCCGUGCCGCGUGCUCUACCGAAACAUACUCGUGCCGUGCCAUGUUGUACAGACAUGUGUCGUGCCCGUGCCAUACCUCGUGCCGUCCGGCCCAUUGGGCACCUCUACUUGGGAGCACCCUAGCCACCUUAUAAAUACACAGGAUUCCACCAAUAGGCCAUAGAUGAUCUAAAUCCAGGCAAAUCCCAGUAAAUCGAUAACACAUCAAAAAAUAAAAAAUUUUGUCGAGAUUUUUGAUGCUCUGAGGUUUUUUAUUUAUUUUAAGAAUAAUAUUGAAUAUCUCAAAACUGCUUUCCAAGUUUUAUGUUUAUAUGCCUAGUGUUUAAAUUCUAUUAUGGUUACAUCCACUAAAAUAAUAAUAAAGCCCAAUUAUAUAAUAUAUCCAUAUAGACUGUAACCAUUUACAAACGAAUCCUUGCUUAACAAGAAAAUUUAGAUUAGGUGGAAUUUUUAAAAAAUAAAAAUAAAGAAUUGACAAUCUGGGGCAUUCAAACUCAUGAUAAUCAUUAAAGAAACUGGCAGCAUCUCAUAUAUGCUCUGUUUUGGCCUCUUCCUUUUAGGCAGAAUCAUGUAAAUAAAUGAUCGUUUUCCACAUCUAGCUCACUCCAACUCUGCAACUCAAUCCCCGGCCUUGUUUCAACAGAAAAGGUAAAAGCAACGGAGAUAGAGAAAGGGCAUCAUUCAAAAACAUGCAGCCCUUAAAAGUUGAAGAUGCCAUCACGCUUAUGUUAGCAAGUCUAUGCUGUUGCUUUCGUUUGCCAUGACAAGUCCAAUCUUUUGUUCAUUAUCUCCAUGUAAAAAUAUAUAAAAGAUAACACUAUUCUAAACUUUUUCAAUUUUACGUUACAAGAUGCUCUAAAUUAAAAAAAAAAAAUUAUGUUAC